GAAAAGAUGAAAAAAGAAAAAAGGUUGGUUAUGGGAUUGACAACGUGAACGAGAAUUCUACGUGAACGUGGAGCGUAAAAAAUAUUCUCCAUGUUUACAAGCUUAUGUUGAUAUCUAUUAUUCAUGAUUUAGUGUAAUAAGGAUCACUUAUUAAGAUAUGCUAGUUUCAACAUUUUGUAAUAGAUACAAAGCGUCUCAUUGGCGUCUAACCUCAAGGGCGAAUCCGCUAAGAAAGGUGCAAAUAAUGAAUAUGUACUGAAAUAGUGUACUUAUUUAUUAACAUAUUAAAAUUAGAAUUACAAGAGAUGUUCAAAAUGCCCUCCCUCACAUUCCAAGCAAUAUGCAAGACGGUUUUUAAAUUCCUCUACAGCAUGUCUGAGGAAUUGAGGAUUUAUUGAAUUACAUGCUGUAGCCCCAAAGAAAAAAGUCAUUUGGUGACAGUGAUAUUUGUUCGUGACCAAUAUCAAAAAUUUUAUGAUACUAACCGAAAGUUUUGGGAGUUGACUGAUCCAUGUAAUGUAAAAGUAGCCUUAUCUGUGAAUAUUAUGUUGUGCAAGAGGUCAUUGUUAUUAUUAAUUAAAUUAAAUAUAAAUAUUCACAAAAUAC